AAAAAACAGUUAAAAGAAAUGUGAAGGAGUUACACAGAGAGAACGCCAUCCAGAGGCAGGCCUGAAUGAAGUGUGCAGAUCAGAGGAGGGGCAGGAAUAGUGGUUACCCUCAGGAGGAGGGGUGACAGAGAGAGAGAAAGAGAGAGAGAGAGCAGAAGG